UUAACACAUGCAAGUCGAACGAUGAACUGGAGCUUGCUCCAGGGAUUAGUGGCGAACGGGUGAGUAACACGUGAGUAACCUGCCCUUGACUCUGGGAUAAGCGCUGGAAACGGCGUCUAAUACCGGAUACGAGCUUCAGCCGCAUGGCUAGGAGUUGGAAAGAAUUUCGGUCAAGGAUGGACUCGCGGCCUAUCAGCUAGUUGGUGAGGUAAUGGCUCACCAAGGCGACGACGGGUAGCCGGCCUGAGAGGGUGACCGGCCACACUGGGACUGAGACACGGCCCAGACUCCUACGGGAGGCAGCAGUGGGGAAUAUUGCACAAUGGGCGAAAGCCUGAUGCAGCAACGCCGCGUGAGGGAUGACGGCCUUCGGGUUGUAAACCUCUUUUAGUAGGGAAGAAGCGAAAGUGACGGUACCUGCAGAAAAAGCACCGGCUAACUACGUGCCAGCAGCCGCGGUAAUACGUAGGGUGCAAGCGUUGUCCGGAAUUAUUGGGCGUAAAGAGCUCGUAGGCGGUUUGUCGCGUCUGCUGUGAAAUCUGGGGGCUCAACCCCCAGCCUGCAGUGGGUACGGGCAGACUAGAGUGCGGUAGGGGAGAUUGGAAUUCCUGGUGUAGCGGUGGAAUGCGCAGAUAUCAGGAGGAACACCGAUGGCGAAGGCAGAUCUCUGGGCCGUAACUGACGCUGAGGAGCGAAAGCAUGGGGAGCGAACAGGAUUAGAUACCCUGGUAGUCCAUGCCGUAAACGUUGGGAACUAGAUGUGGGGGCCAUUCCACGGUCUCCGUGUCGCAGCUAACGCAUUAAGUUCCCCGCCUGGGGAGUACGGCCGCAAGGCUAAAACUCAAAGGAAUUGACGGGGGCCCGCACAAGCGGCGGAGCAUGCGGAUUAAUUCGAUGCAACGCGAAGAACCUUACCAAGGCUUGACAUAUACCGGAAACGUCCAGAGAUGGUCGCCCCGCAAGGUCGGUAUACAGGUGGUGCAUGGUUGUCGUCAGCUCGUGUCGUGAGAUGUUGGGUUAAGUCCCGCAACGAG
rnacentral:rRNA from 1 species